rnacentral:lncRNA from 1 species
ACCGCUCUGAUGGUGGCACAUGCCGAGUCACCCGAGUAAGCUAUUGUUAAGGGCCGUGACCCCAGCCUCCAUCAGCCGUCCGCUCUCAUGAAAGGCUGUCGGUGGUAGUCCACGUGCUUAAGUGCCUGCAUUCCGCAGUGUCACCAAUAUUUCCAUUAGUGUUUCUUUUUUCUUUUUUUUUUUGAGACCGAGCCUCGUUCUGUCACCCAGGCUGGAAUGCAGUGGCUCGAUCUCGGUUAAUGGCAACCUCCGCGUCCCGAGUUAAGCAGUUCUGCCUCAGCCUCCCAAGUAAUUGGGACUACAGGCGCGCGCCACCAUGCUAGGCUUUUAUAUUUUUAGUAGAGACGGGGUUUCACCAUGUUGGCGAGACUGGUCUUGAACUCCUGACCUCAGGUGAUCCACCAGCCGUGGUCUCCCAACAUACUGGGAUUACAAGCCGUGAGCCACCGCGCCCGGCCGCCAUCGGUGGUUCUUAACUGCGGGUGCAGUGCUUCUUUGUAACAUUAAGUGUAUCCUUUACCUGUCGCUAGAUAAUGAAUGGUAUGUUACCUGCAUCAUUGGUUUAAAAAGACGAACCGUUUUUUUAAAGAACACGUUCUUUAAAACCGUGGAACAAUGAAUUAAAAUCUGUACCCGAUCUCUUUAGGUAUGGUGCUGGGUGCAGAUGCAGUGUGGCUCUGGAUAGCACCUUAUGGACAGUUGUGUCCCCAAGGAAGGAUGAGAAUAGCUACUGAAGUCCUAAACAGCAAGCCUAACUCAAGCCAUUGGCACACAGGCAUUAGACAGAAAGCUGGAAGUUGAAAUGGUGGAGUCCAACUUGCCUGGACCAGCUUAAUGGUUCUGCUCCUGGUAACGUUUUUAUCCAUGGAUGACUUGCUUGGGUAAGGACAUGAAGACAGUUCCUGUCAUACCUUUUAAAGGUAUGGAGAGUCGGCUUGACUACACUGUGUGGAGCAACU